rnacentral:rRNA from 1 species
UACAGAGGUGGCAAGCGUUGUUCGGAAUUACUGGGCGUAAAGGGCGCGUAGGCGGCUUGGUCAGUCCCGUGUGAAAUCCCUCGGCUCAACUGAGGAACUGCACGGGAAACUGCCUGGCUUGAGUUCGGGAGAGGGAAGCGGAAUUCCGGGUAUAGCGGUGAAAUGCGUAGAUAUCCGGAGGAACACCGGUGGCGAAGGCGGCUUCCUGGACCGACACUGACGCUGAGGCGCGAAAGCUAGGGGAGCAAACGGG